rnacentral:lncRNA from 1 species
UGACAGUCCUAACUCCUUGUUUCAAUUGCACCAUGGCUUAUUUUAAACACCUUCGUCCUGGCAGAAACAUGGCCACUUAGUCUUUCAGAGUCACCUAAUGAAAAACUCAUUUGGGCAUCCAAAGUUCAGUUAGAUAUUUGAAAGAACAGACAGGAACCUGGCCCAUCACUACACUGGGAGAAAGUAGACAUUAUUAGAGGAUGAGCUUCUACAAGACACAAGAGGGAUUUGGUUUGCUUGAGUUUUACAAAGUUAAAAACCAGUGCCUUCUAGCAUCUGGUGCAAAAGUCAGAAGAUGUGACAUCACUGGAUUCCUGAUCCUGUCCGAGUUGGCCCGGUUACAACCGGCUCCUGGACACCAGCCCGAGAGUUGGCCUGGGUCCCGCCCUUGCCUUCCGGGAGCCCGCAACGGCUAG